UACGGAAGGCAGCAGUGGGGAAUAUUGCACAAUGGGCGCAAGCCUGAUGCAGCCAUGCCGCGUGUAUGAAAAAGGCCUUCGGGUUGUAAAGUACUUUCAGUCGUGAGGAAGGUGUUAAGGUUAAUAACCUUAGCAAUUGACGUUAGCGACAGAAGAAGCACCGGCUAACUCCGUGCCAGCAGCCGCGGUAAUACGGAGGGUGCGAGCGUUAAUCGGAAUUACUGGGCGUAAAGGGCACGCAGGCGGUUAAUUAAGUUGGAUGUGAAAUCCCCGGGCUUAACCUGGGAAUGGCAUUCAAGACUGGUUAGCUAGAGUCUUGUAGAGGGGGUAGAAUUCCGAUGUGUAGCGGUGAAAUGCGUAGAGAUGUGGAGGAAUACCGGUGGCGAAGGCGGCCCCUGGACAAAGGCUGACGCUCAUGUGCGAAAGCGUGGGGAGCGAAAC
rnacentral:rRNA from 1 species